rnacentral:rRNA from 1 species
AUGCCGGCAUCUAGGGCCUCUUUCCCUAUGAAGUACCUAGGCCUCCCACUCUCCAUUUGGGAACUAAAAAAAGGUGGAUUUCCAAUAUCUAGAAGACAAGGCGGCAGGCAAAUUGGUCAGUUGGGCAGGCCAAAACAUCACUACUAUUGGGCGCGGGAGGCUCUUAAGGACAAUGCGUGGAUUUUCAAAAUCAACAUCAACACCGUCGUCACUGGUGGCCACAUUCGGGAAUUCUUCACCCUUUGGAUGCUCGUGCAUGAUUUCUCCCUUGAUGUCCAAGUCGAAGAUGGAAUCAUUUGGAAACACGCGAAUGAUAGGCUCUACACGGCGGCCACCGCCUAUAAGGCUCUGGCUUGA